UACAGAGGGUGCAAGCGUUGUUCGGAAUUAUUGGGCGUAAAGGGCGCGUAGGCGGUGUCGCAAGUCCGUGGUGAAAUCUCCAGGCUCAACUUGGAGUCUGCCACGGAAACUGCGGUGCUUGAGUGUGGGAGAGGUGCGUGGAAUUCCCGGUGUAGCGGUGAAAUGCGUAGAUAUUGGGAGGAACACCAGUGGCGAAGGCGGCUCACUGGACCGGUACUGACGCUGAUGCGCGAAAGCGUGGGGAGCAAACGGG
rnacentral:rRNA from 1 species